AGACAUCGAGGGGGAUAAGACUUUGCCUAUAAUGGACUUCAAAUAGUGGGUACCCAACCUCUUUGAUAGGAGAUUCCUUGAAGGAGAUUCAAUAUAGUAAUAAUAAACUAAUUGAUUAGUCAAGAAACACAUAUGGUUUAUUUAUUAUAGCAGUCAUAGACUCUAUCCCAUUCUUAUGGUGUUUAGUGCUCUUGUGUAGUGGUUAAAGAAGAGCUGUAACUCUGAAUA
rnacentral:lncRNA from 1 species